GCCCCGUUCGUCUAGUGGCCUAGGACGCCGGCCUCUCACGCCGGUAACACGGGUUCGAAUCCCGUACGGGGUACCA
rnacentral:tRNA from 6 species